GAUGAACGCUGGCGGCGUGCCUAAUACAUGCAAGUCGAGCGAACAGAUGAGGAGCUUGCUCCUCUGACGUUAGCGGCGGACGGGUGAGUAACACGUGGAUAACCUACCUAUAAGACUGGGAUAACUUCGGGAAACCGGAGCUAAUACCGGAUAAUAUAUUGAACCGCAUGGUUCAAUAGUGAAAGACGGUUUUGCUGUCACUUAUAGAUGGAUCCGCGCCGCAUUAGCUAGUUGGUAAGGUAACGGCUUACCAAGGCAACGAUGCGUAGCCGACCUGAGAGGGUGAUCGGCCACACUGGAACUGCGACACGGUCCAGACUCCUACGGGAGGCAGCAGUAGGGAAUCUUCCGCAAAGGGCGAAAGCCUGACGGAGCAACGCCGCGUGAGUGAUGAAGGUCUUCGGAUCGUAAAACUCUGUUAUUAGGGAAGAACAAAUGUGUAAGUAACUAUGCACGUCUUGACGGUACCUAAUCAGAAAGCCACGGCUAACUACGUG
rnacentral:rRNA from 1 species